rnacentral:lncRNA from 1 species
CCCGGAGCGGGACCGGGUCGGAGGAUGGACGAGAAUCACGAGCGAUGUGGCCCUGGCGUUGAGUUUGUGGCUGUGGUCGCUUCGGGGCCCCGGUGGCGGGACCAGGGGCUCGUGAGAAAUACUAGGCUUUAGAAUUUCACCAUAUGAAUUUUGGGAGAGAGGAGCACAGUUCAGCCCAUAACUAACACACGUGAUGAAGAAGACAUGCCAACAGAGGGUUAAUUCCAGAUAAAAUGAAAUGUUCC